rnacentral:rRNA from 1 species
CCUACGGGUGGCAGCAGUGAGGAAUAUUGGUCAAUGGGCGUGAGCCUGAACCAGCCAAGUAGCGUGAAGGAUGACUGCUCUAUGGGUUGUAAACCUCUUUUCUAAAGGAAUAAAGUGCGGCACGUGUGCCUUUUUGUAUGUACCUUAUGAAUAAGGAUCGGCUAACUCCGUGCCAGCAGCCGCGGUAAUACGGAGGAUCCGAGCGUUAUCCGGAUUUAUUGGGUUUAAAGGGUGCGUAGGUGGUCUCUUAAGUCAGAUGUGAAAGUAUGUGGCUCAACCGUAAAAGUGCAGUUGAAACUGGCAGUCUUGAGUACGUUUGAGGGAGGCGGAAUGCGUGGUGUAGCGGUGAAAUGCUUAGAUAUCACGCAGAACGCCGAUUGCGAAGGCAGCUUACCAAGCUACGACUGACGUUGAUGCUCGAAAGUGUGGGUAUCAAACAGGAUUAGAUACCCUUGUAGUC